GAAAGCCUGACGCAGCAACGCCGCGUGCGGGAUGAAGGCCUUCGGGUUGUAAACCGCUUUCAGCAGGGAAGAAGCGAAAGUGACGGUACCUGCAGAAGAAGCACCGGCUAACUACGUGCCAGCAGCCGCGGUAAUACGUAGGGUGCAAGCGUUGUCCGGAUUUAUUGGGCGUAAAGAGCUCGUAGGCGGUUAGUCACGUCGGAUGUGAAAACCCAGUGCUUAACACUGGGCCUGCAUUCGAUACGGGCUGACUAGAGUGUUGUAGGGGAGACUGGAACUCCUGGUGUAGCGGUGAAAUGCGCAGAUAUCAGGAAGAACACCGGUGGCGAAGGCGGGUCUCUGGGCAACUACUGACGCUGAGGAGCGAAAGCGUGGGGAGCAAACAGGAUUAGAUACCCUGGUAGUCCACGCCGUAAACGGUGGGCGCWARGKGUGGGGAACAUUCCACGUUCUCCGUGCCGCAGCUAACGCAUAAGCG
rnacentral:rRNA from 1 species